CUUUGGGCUGAAGAAUGUUUCUCUGCAUGGAAAAGCUGCCUCUGAGGAUAAAGUCGGAGCUAAAAUAGAAGUUACAGCCACCCAGGGCGAAGAUACUGUAUCACCUCAUGAAGUGUCUCAUGAUGUAGUCUUCAGAAGAGCUAUAAUGCUCUUUUGGCUGUGCAGUACAUUUAUCUCACCAUCAUCAUCUUCACCACCAUCAGAACUACUUUACAGCUACAUAUUCAUGAUCUUCAUCAUUCAAGUUGUGAGGUAUAGUACUUCACUGGUUAUCCAGUACCAGGAAGAGGAAUUUGAUCAUGGAUCAAAAUAACAACGCAGGAGAUAAGGAAAAUAUUGUCCUCUUUGGGAAAACAAAGAAUGCAAGGUCUCUCUGAAAUACUUACUUUGGUCUUUCACCUAAUAUGACUCUUGUAAAAGAAAUGUGGCUGAGGUUGCUGACUUUUAAUAUUCUGAAAAUAAAUCUGAAUACCAAAAUACGAGUUUUACA
rnacentral:lncRNA from 1 species